CGUUAGCAGACCCAGCUUCAAUGAAUUCCCAAUGUCAACUGCACUUCCUAGUCCGAACGCGAUCUAAAAUACAUGAAAUGUAGAAUGGAAAUCCAUCAACCAGCUAACCACCACAGUGAUAUAAUCUGGUCAACGAACUCUUUCAAUCGUAUCGCUGGAGAAACGCGAACGACUGUGGGCUAUGGCAACUAUGAUCCAGCAAAAUAUCACUAGACAUCAAAAAGCUUUAGAACUUGGUGCGCAAACUUUCAACCGAUGUAAAGCGUAACGUAGCAGUCCUACUUACGAGAGGCAUCAUGACGAGUUGACAGAACCCGCCUGUCGCUGGCGCAAUCGGCUUCUUCAAUAUCUCCUUGAUGACAAAAAUAUCAAUAGAAGCCCCAAAGGCAACCGAGGUCACGACCAACCAACAGUCGUACGAGAAACCCAUCGACGCGGACAACGUCAGGUUGUAGUCAACAGUAAUAGUCUGCGCCUCGAUCAACUGUUCGAUCGAAUAUUGGGAGAACUCGAGCAUGUUUGACAGCGUCUCGUUGGCAUCUCGCUGUUCUUGGGCCGUGACUACCGCGCAAAGAGCGAGUGCCAUCACCCACAAACCGAAUGCCGUUGCCAUGCUUAAUUAUCUUGCGCUAUAUGAAUCGUGGAGGUGGUGUUCCCUAUACGUCGCUAAACACAGCACAUCGAGUCUGUCGUGUCGCUUCUGCGUGUCUGCCUCCUCGUCGUGGGUUUCGAGAGCGGAGACUCAGGUAUGUUUGUAUAAUAGCCUCCAGACAUGUGCACGUGUUUAAUAUAGGUUAAAGUACCCACAUGAUGAUUACUUUGCGCAAGAGCUAUUUUCUGCGGUCGAACAGCCAUGCAUGCUCACAACUCGCGCGUCGUAGAACAACUAAGUGUUUCUAUUACUAAUCAACACAACCACGACGAUAAUUAGCUCACGCAGCGGCGCAGAUAACCAGUUUCGUUAUGCAAGAUGCUGUCAAGCUGUUUGUCUAUUGUAGCUGCAGUUGUGUUGUAGUCUAUUGUAGUUGUAGCACUAUGACCGUGCUAUUACACGAACUGCGUCGGUUCCACUCUCGCUAACAAAUUAUUGUUGUUAGCUGUUAACUGUUACUGUUAACUGUUAACUGUUAACUGUUACUGUUAACUGUUAACUGUCAACU